CGUGGCAAGGAUACUGCGAUGCGUCAUGUUGCAUCGUAUCACAGUUCUUUGUCACCCU
rnacentral:pre_miRNA from 1 species